rnacentral:sRNA from 1 species
UUUUACAUAUUCUGCAAUUAAAGGUCCUAUGAGGCUACCUGCCGACUGCUGACAUGUAGUGUGUGGUAAAUGUGAGUGUUUCACAGCCUGGAGUGAACAGGGGUCUUCUCUGAGAAUUGAGGUUGCAAGGCUGGCUAACUCAGCUUUGCCUUCACGAGCCCUAGAGGCCAGCCGAAGGAUGUCUGCAGGUCAGGGAGACAGGACCAGGUAACCCAGCUGUCACUGAAGAUUAUAUAGAGUUUGAGAAUGUUGGAAUAUUUGAAAAUGCUCCCCCAAAAAAGCUGCUGAUGAGUUCUGGAAAUGUCAGGAGAUUAAUCUAUACGGACACUGCUGAAGAAAAAGGUAGAAGAAUAAAAGAUCCAGUACUUCUUCCUGGGUAAGCAGUUAUGACCAGAGAUGGAACCGGCAACUCUUUGGCCAGAAAGCUGUAUCCAAAAGACAGAGAAGAUGAGAAACAGGGAGGGCAAAGGCGAAAAAGCAAUUGGACAUGAUAGCUAGAUUUGUUUCAGGAAAACAUCCUGCUUUCCAAGGAUUUAGAUGAAUGUUUUUGUUCACUGGUGACUCAGGUAACACGUCUUCAAGAAGCCAUAGGGAGGUUGAGGGAGGGAAGUCAAGAAGGGAGGUUGAGGACUGCACUUUUGAUUUACUUCUGACUUCACGAGUCACUUUCUGCCAAAGAAAUCUCUCCUUUUGCUUCUAGCACCGACUAGAUUUCCUUCAGCUGAUGAUUGACUCCCAGAAUUCGAAAGAAACUGAGUCCCACAAAGCUCUGUCUGAUCUGGAGCUCGCAGCCCAGUCAAUAAUCUUCAUUUUUGCUGGCUAUGAAACCACCAGCAGUGUUCUUUCCUUCACUUUAUAUGAACUGGCCACUCACCCUGAUGUCCAGCAGAAACUGCAAAAGGAGAUUGAUGCAGUUUUGCCCAAUAAGGUGAGGGGAUGACCCCUGAAGAUGAAGGGAAGAGGUGAAGCCUUAGCAAAAAUGCCUCCUCACCACUCCCCAGGAGAAUUUUUAUAAAAAGCAUAAUCACUGAUUCCUUCACUGACAUAAUGUAGGAAGCCUCUGAGGAGAAAAACAAAGGGAGAAACAUAGAGAAUGGUUGCUACUGGCAGAAGCAUAAGAUCUUUGUACAAUAUUGCUGGCCCUGGUUCAUCUGUUUACUGUUAUCACAAUAAUGCUAAGUAAAAAAAAAAAAAAAAAAAAAAAAAAGGAGUGUGGCGAGAAGAUGGCCAAACAGGAACAGCUCCAGUCUACAGCUCCCAGCGUGAGCAACCCAGAAGACGAACGAUUUCUGCAUUUCCAACUGAGGUACCGGGUGCAUCUCAAUGGGGAUUGUUGGAGAGUGGGUGCAGGACAGUGGGUGCAGUGCACCCAGCCUGAGCCAAAGCAGGGCAAGGCAUCACCUCACCUGGGAAGUGCAAGGGGUCAGGGAAUUCCCUUUCCUAGGGGUGACGGACAGCACCUGGAAAAUCAGGUCACUCCCACCCUAAUACUGCGCUUUUCUGAUGGUCUUAGCAAAAGGCACACCAGGAGAUUAUAUCCCGCACAUGGCUCAGAGGGUCCUACGCCCAUGGAGCCUCACUCAUUGCUAGCACAGCAGUCUGAGAUCGAACUGCAAGGCAGCAGCGAGGCUGGGGGAGGGGCGCCCGCCAUUGCUAAGGCUUGAGUAGGUAAACAAAGCUGCCAGGAAGCUCAAACUGGGUGAAGCCCACUGCAGCUCAAGGAGGUCUGCCUGCCUCUGUAGACUCCACCUCUAGGGGCAGAGCAUAGCCAACCAAAAGGCAGCAGAAACCUCUGCAGACUUAAAUGUCCCUGUCUGACAGCUUUGAAGAGAGUAGUGGUUCUCCCAGGACACAGCUGGAGAUCUGAGAACAGACAGACUGCCUCCUCAAGUGGGUCCCUGACCCCCGAGCAGCCUAACUGGGAGGCACCCCCCAGUAGGGGCAGACUGACACCUCACACGGCCGGGUACUCCUCUGAGACAAAACUUCCAGAGGAAUGAUCAGGCAGCAGCAUUUGCGGGUCACCAAUAUCUGCUGUUCUGCAGCCUCCACUCCUGAUACCCAGGCAAACAGGGUCUGGAGUGGACCUCCGGCAAACUCCAACAGACCUGCAGCUGAGGAUCCUGACUGUCAGAAGGAAAACUAACAAACAGAAAGGACAUCCACACCAAAACCCAUCUGUACAUCACCAUCAUCAAAGACCAAAGGUAGAUAAAACCACAAACAUGAGGGAAAAACAGCAGAAAAACUGAAAAAUCUAAAAAUCAGAGCACCUCUCCUCCUCCAAAGGAACGCAGCUCCGCACCAGCAAUGGAACAAAGAUGGAUGGAGAAUGACUUUGACGAGUUGAGAGAAGAAGGCUUCAGACGAUCAAACUACUCCGAGCUAAAGGAGGAAAUUUGAACCCAUGGCAAAGAAGUUAAAAACCUUGAAAAAAGAUUAGACAAAUGGCUAACUAGAAUAAUCAAUGCAGAGAAGUCCUUAAAGGACCUGAUGGAGCUGAAGACCAUGGCACGAGAACUACGUGAUGAAUGCACAAGCCUCAGUAGCCAAUUCAAUCAACUGGAAGAAAGGGUAUCAGUGAUGGAAGAUC